rnacentral:misc_RNA from 1 species
UGGUUCUGGCAUCGAUGAAGAACGCAGCGAAAUGCGAUAAGUAGUGUGAAUUGCAGAAUUCAGUGAAUCAUCGAAUCUUUGAACGCACAUUGCGCCCUUUGGUAUUCCAAAGGGCAUGCCUGUUCGAGCGUCAUUUGUACCCUCAAGCUUUGCUUGGUGUUGGGCGUCUUGUCUCUAGCUUUGCUGGAGACUCGCCUUAAAGUAAUUGGCAGCCGGCCUACUGGUUUCGGAGCGCAGCACAAGUCGCACUCUCUAUCAGCAAAGGUCUAGCAUCCAUUAAGCCUUUUUUUCAACUUUUGACCUCGGAUCAGGUAGGGAUACCCGCUGA